rnacentral:rRNA from 1 species
CAAUAGCGUAUAUUAAAGUUGUUGCAGUUAAAAAGCUCGUAGUUGAAUUUCUGUCAGGAGUGACCGGGCCUUUGGAUGAACUUCCAUUGUUUUUUGCUCUGUUUGUCAUCUCUAGACAUCCUGAAAUAUUUUUUAAAAAUAUUUCUCUUUUACUGUUAGCAAAAUAGAGUGUUCCAAGCAAAGCGUAGUUUUGAAUACAUUAGAAUGGAAUAAUAAGAUAGGACUUUGGUGCUAUUUUGUUGGUUUGCACACCAAGGUAAUGAUUAAUAGGGACAGUUGGGGGUAUUCGUAUUUAAUUGUCAGAGGUGAAAUUCUUGGAUUUAUGAAAGACGAACUACUGCGAAAGCAUUUGCCAAGGAUGUUUUCAUUGA